AUUGUGGUUCCCAGGAAUCUGAAUGACUCCACUGCUGUCACAAUGCUGUCCAUGAUGGGACAAUAUGGUCUUUAUGAGCAGAGCUGCGCUCCAAGGCAAAAACAUUGUUCAGCAGUAAAACAUUCUGAAACCAAAACCACAUGUUCCAAAGUGCAGGACACACUUUACAUUGCAGAGCUGUUACUCAAACGGGACUGGAGGCUCCUGAGCUGUGCCACACCAGUGUUGGACAUUGCACUUUUUCAUUUCUACCUGGAGGCUUAAAUGAAGAACAGAUUCUGUUUCAGGCAUGUUGCAGAAAAAGAAAGGGGGAGCAGCAGCUUGGGAAGGAGGGUGGGAGAGAAAGAGAGAGAGAGAGAGAUUUUAAGCACAAUUGAGACUCCUGCUUAAUGUAGAAUGUUUUGACAACUGACUAUUUAUUUUGCAUUGUGAUUUAUUUUCCAUUUUUUCAAAUGGACUUUUCUCAACUCUGCAAGUUGCUGACAAUUAUAUUCCUUCAUAUCAUUCAACAACAUAUUCUAUAUUUGUUCAUAUAAUACUACAUCAAAUACAUUCUGUAAUCAGUUUUUUUAAUAUCUGCUUUUAAGCUGCCUGUUAGCAUCUUUGCUGCAAAGUAUUUGUUUUAAGAGUAAAAAUAUAAAUGCCCAUAGAUGCCUUGGCGGUCUGCAAAUAAUCCGCAGCCCAGUACUAAGAUAUUAUAUUUUUGUGUGUUUUGUUUUGUUUAAAAAAUGUAUUUAAUGCAGACGCAAAACACCACACUCAUAAUUUUGCACAGUGUGGCGCUGAGAGGCCUCUUCAAAAUGGCAAGAUUUCAAGACUCAAUUAAAACGCGCCGUAGCCAACGAUGGGGUCCCUCUUAUGAACAAAGAGAGCUCAAGUGUCUCUGCUAUACAUGCACAGGGAUGCAGAUACGCAGGCAAAGUUGCCUUUAGCUAGAGUUGAACUCUUGACUCGUGAGCAAGGUUUGGAUGUAACUUCGUGUGAAGUGUGACUUCACAGGUGUAUUUGUGUGAAUAAUAAGCAAUUAAAGCAUCGAAAUAAAUAAGCUUUUAUUUCCAUAA